UAUGUGGGACAACUGAUUGCAGAGGCCA
rnacentral:piRNA from 1 species